CGCAGGACAGUGCUGGGGGCUGUCGGAGCGCACCUGGAGGGGGCAGAACUCUCACCAAGAGCGGAGGGCGCCUCAUCCAACGUGCGCCCUUGGGUCUUUGCCAGAGACAGCUCUGGCCCCUUCUAGUGCCUAAAGUCAAUACUGAGACCCCAGACAUGUCCAGAGACAUCCUGAAGAGACUGAGCAAUUAAGGAGCCUUAAGGUAUCCACAAGGAGAUUCCUGAAGCCAUCUCAGAGUCAGAGAGUUUGCCUGCCGUUUGUUCUUGGCGGACACAACAUCUUUGUUUGUAUGUGGU